CGACUCUCGACAACGGAUAUCUCGGCUCUCGCAUCGAUGAAGAACGUAGCGAAAUGCGAUACUUGGUGUGAAUUGCAGAAUCCCGUGAACCAUCGAGUCUUUGAACGCAAGUUGCGCCCGAAGCCACUAGGCUGAGGGCACGUCUGCCUGGGUGUCACGCAUCGUCUUGCCC
rnacentral:rRNA from 4 species